GCUAAUUAUGACAACGUCGCUUGGAAGUGGGGACUUCAAAUAAAAGAAUACUUUGAUCUGAAUGUCACGGCUGGAGGAAACGAUGAUCUGUCAAACAACACCACUAGCUACCCAACCACUCCAGAUGCUGAACAUCCUUCUACAGGACCAGACCAAAACAUUCGAUGGGGUAUACGCUUAUCAGUCGGUGCAGUACUUUUGGCUGUAGUUGUCUUUUUGUUCAGCAGAGCUCGAGCUCGAAGGAAGCUGAAGAUCUACAUCUGUCCAAACAUUAUAUAACAGCUAUGCUUUCUGUGACUCUGCCUUAGUCAGAGAAAAGGAGUUCACUCUAAUUAAGCUUUCUGCUUCUUUAAGGAUGGAAGCUGAAUCAGUACUGCUCAAAACAGUUAAGAAAUUACACACAGUUGUGGAAAACACUUAGCAAAUUCUUUAAAUGUGAGCGAAUGAGGGGGAAAUUUUGCAUUUGAAGACCAUUUUCAGAGGAGUGGGUGUUUCCGUUUCAUGUGCUCCUACACCCCUCCAAGCCACACAGCAUGCACCAUGUCUGUGUUCAUUAGCUACUGCAGAUCUUGGUCCUGCUGAAGUAUAACCAAUGCACAGAAAUCAAACCAACUCUAAUUAACUAAUUUCACCAGUCUAUCUAAAAGCAUCUUUUUUACACUGAAUAACAAUAUUUUACCUGUAGUAAAAGAAACAUCAAUAAUAAUAAUUAACCAUUGCCGUUUUGGUCAAUUAAUUUACGCACCUCUGCUAAUUAAUCUUGAUCCAGGAUGUUUGAGUUGAGCUAAUUAUGUCAGUGGAACUAUAUGUUAAUUAGUUCAUUGAAGUGCAAAUGUGAUUCUUGUUGUUUUCUUGGUUUUGGUCCUCCUGUUUUCCAUCCACUGAGGUGUGCAAACGAUAAACAAUAGAUUAGCUUCUGUGCACCAUUAGCUAAUGUCUCUUUGCGCUUUCUUUGAGAUGGACACAGUGCAAAAAGUGA